ACUCGUUCUGGGACAGGGAGGGGCCAGUCAAAGCAGGAGCCAAGGCUGACCUCGGCGUCCCCAGAGCCUGGCAGCUCAGGCCUUCCUGGGCCCUUCCAACUGUUCUCGGUCCUCAUCCCUGAGUCCGAGGGCUGACUCCUGCUGGGGUGUUCACACCCGGAUGCAGCCCUGGGGGAGGGCAGCAGUAGCAGGGGAGAGGCUGGGCCCCCAGUGCCCAGUUCAGUGCAGUGACUCUGCCUCCCUCAGAUGGAGUGAUGCUGUCUCCCUCCCCGGGGUAAGGAAGAUUCAUUGAGCUGACUCUCAAGGACGCUGGUCUCCUGCUUCUGUUUCAUGAUGACCUGUAAGGCCCGGGCUCCACACCCUCUCAGCCCCAAGGGCCCCUCAUUUAGGAAAGGCGGUCAGGCUGUCAAGGUCAAACAGACACAGGUCGCAGGGGCCGGGCAGCCAUGCCCACGCGUUAAGCUGUUUACCUCCGGGACUUGGGCUCUGCGGUAUCUCCGUCCCAAGGACGUGGAGGACAUAAGCCAACUUGGAGACAGCCCUGACAACUGUGGUCGGAGAUGAGGGCUGCUAGCUCCUCCUGGAGGCAAACGGGCCAUGGCCCCGUGAGCCACGACCCCUUCACCCUCCCAGCCCCUGUGGCCAGGGCAGGGGGCCGCCCCAUGAACACAAGCACUCCCAGUGGAACCAGGGAGCCACCUGGGUACCCUCGACCCCCAAACAGGUAAGACUAUUCAAGAAUACUCCAAACUGAUGGCAGCAACUGCCCAGACAGAGGAGGGUCUCCUCAUCAUCCUUUUCUGUGACAUUGACAGAGACGCUAAACGUGGUUAUAGCCACCAGAAGUCACCACACAACAUCCAUGCCCGGCAACUGUCAAUCUUAGGGCAACACUCCCUGCAUGGAAUGCUGCCUGUAGGGUACCCACCUGGCAAACCUGCUGGGCACCAGCAGGUCCAGAAUUAGUGAGCAUUUGAUCAAGAGUUAUCACAAAGAGGCUGGCCCCAAGUGAAGUCAAUGGUGUAUGCGGUGGCCCAGGUUACACCCGGUGACCCCUCACUCCCUGUGAAAACCUGAAUCCAUCUCUGGCAGCCUUGGGCCCAGCCUGGAUUUAGGGCCUCCAGGAUGCCAUAAACUCACUUCCUCUGGGCUGCCCUGGCCCCAUAUCCAGCCUAACUUUAGGGGUCCACCAGAACCACCUAGACCACCAUGUGGCUGCAUGACUUGACGGGAGCCCAGCGUGCCUAAGCAGAAGUCGGCUGCAAGAGUCUUUCCGGAAGGGAACUGAGAAAAACAUAAAACCAGCCUGGAGAUGAAUGAACAGAGUCCUUGCUCUCCGUAACAAGAUAGCCGAGCUCACAGGAGUCUGAGAAGGGCACGGCAACAGUAACCCUCCCGAGACAGAGAGAGAUGGGACUAGUUCCUUCUCAUCAACUGGGCCACUGUGAGUGGAAACAGAUGGCACAAAUAAAGUAUCUCAAGAUCUCAAUCCACAGGAGGAAACAGGAAUGCAUGAAAGAGAUCUGAGGGGACUUCCCUGGCUGUCCCGUGAUUAAGACUGCACCUUCCAAUGCAGGCGAUGUGGGUUCGAUCUCUGGUCUGGGUGCUAAGAUCCCACAUGCCUCAUGGCCGAAAAACCAAAACAUAAAACAGAAGCAAUAUUAUAACAGAUUCAAUAAAGACUUUAAAAAUGGUCCAUGUCAAAAAAAAAUUUUUUUUAAAAGAUCUGAUAAAGGAACUGAAUUUAGUUGCAUCAGAGAGGAGUCUUGAAAUCAUAAAAACCUACAUCCAAAAACUAGGGUCCAAGCCCCCCCAGCUCCGAGCCAGAGACAACAAGCUCCCAGCAGUCUCCUUUUCUGCUGGGCAGCCCUCUGCUCAUAAAACUGGACUCAGUUGCACUGCACUGCAAUUUUGCUUCCUCCUUUCACAGCCCCCUACAACUACUCUUGCCAAGGCAACUGACUCCUACUGCAAAAUCUGGCUGGUUCUUUUCAAUCCUGAGCUGACAUUUCACACAAGUGACUUCCAUCUUGUCAAAAUGCUCUGUUCCUCCAGUUUCCAGAAGACCACAUGCAGCCAGCGCUCCUGAGUCCUCUGUGGAUUCUUUCUGUCCCCUUCGGGGUUCUCUACUCAAAUCUUAAACCCUGAAGCUCCUGGUGGGCAUUCUUAGUGUCUUCCCCAUCACCCUGCAGACUCGCCUGGUCAGUCUUCUCUGCACCUCAGACUGCAAAGACCACCUGCAUGUAGGUUACCCGCAAUCUCUUAUUCCCAGCCUCACUCUCCAGUCUACCCUCGGGCAGAGAUUACGCCACAUCACGACUGUUUAAACACUUCCAACACUGGUCGUCUGAAUAAACCCCAGA